AUCCGACGUUUAUUUCCACUUUGAAGAGGACCUCUUACCCUACCGAUCAAGCGCUUGAGAAGUUCUGAAAGGCCAUUUAAAAGAUUGCUGCACAUCCUUCCCCCUUCUGAUCCCGAGGCUCUGUCUGAAGUGACGCGCCAGCACCCGACAGAGACACCAGGAAGCGGUCCCAAGGGUCACCGUGAUGACAAAUGACCUCUACCAGCAUCAGCUGAGCACCCCCCCCCCCCGCCCCUGGUGAUGGAGAUGUGCAGCAGAAGCAGAGAGCAUCAACCUAACGGGUAAAAAAUAGGCUUCAGCACUGAUUCGUAACACCACGCUGGCUGCCUAAGAGCCGCCUGGAAAAUUUAUUAAAGACUCCACAGUUCCACGUC